UCCAGGAUUCAGAGAUCAGGCCUGAAGACAAAGGGCUCGUCAUGGAGUUUGGGCUGAGCUGGAUUUUCCUUGUUGCUCUUUUAAGAGGUGUCCAGUGUGAGGUGCAGCUGGUGGAGUCUGGGGGAGGCCUGGUGAAGCCUGGGGGGUCUCUGAGACUCUCCUGUGCAGCCUCUGGAUUCACCUUCAGCAGCUAUGCUAUGAGCUGGGUCCGCCAGGCUCCAGGGAAGGGCCUGCAGUGGGUCGCAGGUAUUAAUAGUGAUGGUGGUAGCACAUACUACGCUGACUCCGUGAAGGGCCGAUUCACCAUCUCCAGAGACAACUCGAAGAACACGCUGUAUCUGCAAAUGAACAGCCUGAGAGAUGAGGACACGGCCGUGUAUUACUGUGCGAAGGACACAGUGAUGUGA